rnacentral:lncRNA from 1 species
UUCUGCCCAAUUCUGCCCCACUCUAUCUUGCUCCCUUCAAAAUCUAUGGUGCUGAUGACCGCCUGUGAGAGGUGAUAUCCUGUGAGAGGCUGGGAAGGGGAGUGUCCGUUUGAGCUGGAAGGCUGCCUGGAGGAGGUGUGGCUUGAACUGGGCUUGAGCAGUGGGAAGGAUUUGGAGAGCGGAGGAAUGAAGGAGAGCAGAGAGGAGAGGCUUGGAGAAAAAUGAGAAGUCUCUCCAGCCCCAAUGACGGCAAGCACCCUGGAGCUGAGGGGGCUGAGUGGCGGCUGUGCCCUUUGGACAGGCAGCAGCUCCCAGUUUUCUCACCUAGGGGUAGCUGGUGGCCAAGAGGAAAGAGGAGUUGUCGUAAGUCAAUUUUUUCCCUGGCUUUCCUUUCUAAAGCCACCCCUGAGGGGAUGAUGCUGGAAGUGGGAGAAGGAGGAAGGGGAGAGGGAGAGCUCCAAGGGAAACAGGAAUAGGGAGAAAAGGUGCUUCCUGGCCCCUGGAGAUGUCUCCAAUGGGUGCAGGUUUCGUAAGUAGUGGGACCCCAGCUUUCCCUGCAGCAAACCAGGAGGAAUGGCUCGGUGAUUUCCAGUAACCCUGAAGGUUUCCAGCCCCAGUGUGGGACAAAAGUAGAGUGCAGGGCACCUAAAAAGACUAAGGCUGGGAACAGUGAUUGUUUCUGAAGUAAGCAGAGGGGUUCGAGGACCCGAGGUCUUCCCAAAGCCUACAUUUUGUGUAAGACUCCGUGACCUUCACAUAAUUUUUGCCUGGGGGGAAGAGCACCUGGCCGUGAUGCACUAGGGUUACAUUUCCAGGCAGCAUUGCAGAAGGAGGGCUCCAGAAUUCAAAGCUACAAUGAUUUAUGGAAAAGGCUAAAUGGGAUUCUUCCUGUAAGCUUGAGUUUGAAGACUGAGGUUCUUGCCUCCAGAGUAGAUAUUGAGGCAGAUUAGUUCCAGAAUUGGGUUACGGUGUUCAGAGAUGGCUAAUGUGUAUUGUCUAGAGGGCCAACUCAGGCUGGGAGGGGCUCUCUAGGGCUUUGUGUUAAGAGGGAUUCUGAGGCAGUCUUGGCUGGCUGGGGGGAAAGCAAGCCUUCAUUGAUUAGUGAGCUGUAGCAUGGAUGUGAUUUUUGGUCUUAUU